UCCCUGGUGGUCCAGUGGUUAAGACUCUGUGCUUCCAAUGCAGGGGGUACAGGUUCAAUCCCUGACUGAGGAG
rnacentral:tRNA from 1 species